GGGUGACGAGCGGCGGACGGGUGAGUAAUGUCUGGGAAACUGCCUGAUGGAGGGGGAUAACUACUGGAAACGGUAGCUAAUACCGCAUAACGUCGCAAGACCAAAGAGGGGGACCUUCGGGCCUCUUGCCAUCAGAUGUGCCCAGAUGGGAUUAGCUAGUAGGUGGGGUAACGGCUCACCUAGGCGACGAUCCCUAGCUGGUCUGAGAGGAUGACCAGCCACACUGGAACUGAGACACGGUCCAGACUCCUACGGGAGGCAGCAGUGGGGAAUAUUGCACAAUGGGCGCAAGCCUGAUGCAGCCAUGCCGCGUGUAUGAAGAAGGCCUUCGGGUUGUAAAGUACUUUCAGCGGGGAGGAAGGUGUUGAGGUUAAUAACCUCAGCAAUUGACGUUACCCGCAGAAGAAGCACCGGCUAACUCCGUGCCAGCAGCCGCGGUAAUACGGAGGGUGCAAGCGUUAAUCGGAAUUACUGGGCGUAAAGCGCACGCAGGCGGUCUGUCAAGUCGGAUGUGAAAUCCCCGGGCUCAACCUGGGAACUGCAUUCGAAACUGGCAGGCUAGAGUCUUGUAGAGGGGGGUAGAAUUCCAGGUGUAGCGGUGAAAUGCGUAGAGAUCUGGAGGAAUACCGGUGGCGAAGGCGGCCCCCUGGACAAAGACUGACGCUCAGGUGCGAAAGCGUGGGGAGCAAACAGGAUUAGAUACCCUGGUAGUCCACGCCGUAAACGAUGUCGACUUGGAGGUUGUGCCCUUGAGGCGUGGCUUCCGGAGCUAACGCGUUAAGUCGACCGCCUGGGGAGUACGGCCGCAAGGUUAAAACUCAAAUGAAUUGACGGGGGCCCGCACAAGCGGUGGAGCAUGUGGUUUAAUUCGAUGCAACGCGAAGAACCUUACCUACUCUUGACAUCCAGAGAACUUUCCAGAGAUGGACUGGUGCCUUCGGGAACUCUGAGACAGGUGCUGCAUGGCUGUCGUCAGCUCGUGUUGUGAAAUGUUGGGUUAAGUCCCGCAACGAGCGCAACCCUUAUCCUUUGUUGCCAGCGGUUAGGCCGGGAACUCAAAGGAGACUGCCAGUGAUAAACUGGAGGAAGGUGGGGAUGACGUCAAGUCAUCAUGGCCCUUACGAGUAGGGCUACACACGUGCUACAAUGGCGCAUACAAAGAGAAGCGACCUCGCGAGAGCAAGCGGACCUCAUAAAGUGCGUCGUAGUCCGGAUUGGAGUCUGCAACUCGACUCCAUGAAGUCGGAAUCGCUAGUAAUCGUAGAUCAGAAUGCUACGGUGAAUACGUUCCCGGGCCUUGUACACACCGCCCGUCACACCAUGGGAGUGGGUUGCAAAAGAAGUAGGUAGCUUAACCUUCGGGAGGGCGCUUACCACUUUGUGAUUCAUGACUGGGGUGAAGUCGUAACAAGGUAACCGUAGGGGAACCUGCGGUUGGAUCACCUCCUUACCUUAAAGAA
rnacentral:rRNA from 2 species